AAAAGAACCCCGGGAGGGGAGUGAAAUAGAUCCUGAAACCGCAUACAUACAAACAGUAGGAGCCUCGUUAAGGGGUGACUGCGUACCUUUUGCAUAAUGGGUCAGCGACUUACGUUUAAUGGCGAGCUUAACCGUAUAGGGGAGGCGCAGCGAAAGCGAGUUCGAACAGAGCGUUCAGUCGUUAGGCGUAGACCCGAAACCAGAUGAUCUAUCCAUGGCCAGGUUGAAGGUGUGGUAACACACACUGGAGGACCGAACCGACUAGUGUUGCAAAAUUAGCGGAUGAGCUGUGGAUAGGGGUGAAAGGCUAAACAAAUCUGGAGAUAGCUGGUUCUCCCCGAAAACUAUUGAGGUAGUGCCUCGUGUAUGACUCCAGGGGGUAGAGCACUGUUAUGGCUAGGGGGACAUGGCGUCUUACCAAACCAUGGCAAACUCCGAAUACUUGGAAGUUUGAGCACGGGAGACAGAGCACCGGGUGCUAACGUCCGGACUCAAGAGGGAAACAACCCAGACCGCCGGCUAAGGUCCCUAAUAUUGACUAAGUGGAAAACGAAGUGGAAAGGCUAAGACAGUCAGGAAGUUGGCUUAGAAGCAGCCAUCCUUCAAAGAAAGCGUAAUAGCUCACUGAUCGAGUCUUUCUGCGCGGAAGAUGUAACGGGGCUAAGUCAAUAACCGAAGCCGCGGAUUCACACUUAUGUGUGAGUGGUAGGGGAGCGUUCUGUAAGCCUGCGAAGGUGACUCGUAAGGGUUGCUGGAGGUAUCAGAAGUGCGAAUGCUGACAUGAGUAACGUUAAAGCGGGUGAAAAGCCCGCUCGCCGUAAGCCCAAGGUUUCCUGCUCUACGUUCAUCGGAGCAGGGUGAGUCGGCCCCUAAGGUGAGGCUGAGAAGCGUAACUGAUGGGAACAAGGUUAAUAUUCCUUGACCACCGCUGAAUGCGAAGGGGGGACGGAGUAUUGAAGAUCAUCCGGGUGUUGGAUAUCCCGGUUUGCGAGCGUAGGAGGCUGACAGGCAAAUCCGUCAGCGAAUCUCCGAGGCGAAGCAUCGAGCUCUCUUUUGAGCGAAGUGAUUGGAUGUGCUUCCAGGAAAAGCCUCUAAGCUCCAGUUCAGCGGGACCGUACCGCAAACCGACACUGGUGGGCGAGCUGAAUAUGCUCAGGCGCUUGAGAGAACUCAGGAGAAGGAACUCGGCAAAUUGACACCGUAACUUCGGGAUAAGGUGUGCCUUUGUAGCGUGGAGGGAGAAACACUCCGAGCGCGAAGAGGUCUCAGAUAAUCGGUGGCUGCGACUGUUUAUUAAAAACACAGCACUCUGCAAAGACGAAAGUCGACGUAUAGGGUGUGAUGCCUGCCCGGUGCUGGAAGAUUAAUUGAUGGGGUGCAAGCUCCUGAUCGAAGUCCCAGUAAACGGCGGCCGUAACUAUAACGGUCCUAAGGUAGCGAAAUUCCUUGUCGGGCAAGUUCCGACCUGCACGAAUGGCAUAACGAUGGCCACACUGUCUCCUCCUGAGACUCAGUGAAGUUGAAGUGUUUGUGAUGAUGCAAUCUCCCCGCGGCUAGACGGAAAGACCCCAUGAACCUUUACUGUAGCUUUGCAUUGGACUUUGAACCGAUCUGUGUAGGAUAGGCGGGAGCCUGUGAAACCACAACGCCAGUUGUGGCGGAGGCGUCCUUGAAAUACCGCCCUGAUUUGUUUGAGGUUCUAACCUGGGACAGUCAUCCUGUCCGGGGACCGUGCAUGGUAGGCAGUUUGACUGGGGCGGUCUCCUCCUAAAGGGUAACGGAGGAGUGCGAAGGUACGCUAGGUACGGUCGGAAAUCGUGCUGAUAGUGCAAUGGCAAAAGCGUGCUUGACUGCGAGACCCACAAGUCGAGCAGAUACGAAAGUAGGUCAUAGUGAUCCGGUGGCUCUGUAUGGAAGGGCCAUCGCUCAACGGAUAAAAGGUACUCUGGGGAUAACAGGCUGAUACCGCCCAAGAGUUCAUAUCGACGGCGGUGUUUGGCAC
rnacentral:rRNA from 1 species